rnacentral:tRNA from 1 species
GGAGUUGUGGCUCAGUGGUAGAACAGCACUUGCCAUAUAUGUAUGAGGUGCUGGGUUCGAUCCUCAGCACCA